UACGUAGGGGGCAAGCGUUGUCCGGAUUUAUUGGGCGUAAAGCGCGUGUAGGCGGCCAGAUAGGUCUGCUGUGAAAACUCGAGGCUCAACCUCGAGCUGUCGGCGGAAACCAUCUGGCUAGAGUCCGGAAGAGGAGAGUGGAAUUCCUGGUGUAGCGGUGAAAUGCGCAGAUAUCAGGAGGAACACCGGUGGCGAAGGCGGGUCUCUGGGCC
rnacentral:rRNA from 1 species